rnacentral:lncRNA from 1 species
CAGAGAAAUGGACAAAUCUGCCUCCUACUGAAUGGUUCUGAUGCUACGGGGAAGGCAAAAAAACCCUCUUAUCUACAAGCAAAACAAACCACAAAAAUCUCCUCCUUGAAAAGGGAAUCCUCCUACCCGUUGGUAGGAAGGUAAACUGGUACAACCACUACAGCAAACAGUAUGGAGGUUCCUCUGAAAACUAAAUAUAGAACUACCAUAUGAUCCAGCAAUCCCAUUCCUGGACAUUUAUCUGGAUAAAACUAUAAUACAAAAAUAUACAUGCACUCAUAUGUUCACAGCGGCACUAUUCACAAUAGCCAAGACAUGGAAACACCUAAAUGUCCAUCAACAGAUGAAUGGAUUAAGAAGAUGUGGUGCCUAUACAUAAUGGAAUACUACUCAACCAUAAAAAAGAAUGAAAUAAUGCCAUCUAGAGCAACAUGGAUGCAACUAGAGAUUAUCAUAUUAAGAGAGGUAAGUCAGAAAGAGAAAGACAAAUACCAUAUGAUAUCACUUCUAUAUGGGAUCUAAAAUACGGUACAAAUUAACUUAUCUAUAGGACAGAAACAGACUCACAGACAUAGAGAACAGACUUGUGGUUGCCAAGGGGGAGGGGGAGGGAGUGGGAUGGACUGGGAGUUUGGGUUAGAAGAUGCAAACUAUUACAUUCAGAAUGCAUAAGCAAUGAGGUCCUACUGUACAGCACAGGGAACUCUAUCCAGUCUCUUGGGAUAGAACUAUAACAUAAGAAAGUCAUAAAGUGACUGGGACACUUUGCUGUACAGCAGAAAUUGGCACAACAUUGUAAGUCGACUAUACUGUAAUUUAAAAACACACACACACACAAAUCUCCUCUAGCAGGAACAAUUGAAAUCUCUGCACAGCCACCCAGAAGCAGCCACAGGACCCACCAUGACAAGCUGGAGCCAGGAGCCUGGGGAAACAGCACCCACUUCCCCCACCCCCACCCGCUGGCUCUGCUCCAGGUCCUGGAUGCAGCAAGGACGGCAGACCACCCAGCGCAUGAAGAUGAGACGGUCCACUGUGGGGGCAGGGAGCCGCACCAACUCAGACCCCAGCUGCCACAGGGAGCCUGCUGUCUGUGAACCUAAGAUAAGAGCGCCUGGCAAGCUCCAGCUGCCAAGGAUGGCUCAUGGGCAAAACGGAGCAGGUGUGACAGCAUGCUCUGCUCCUGACAGUAUGAUCACCAGAGCCAGGAAUUCAUUGUAA